rnacentral:rRNA from 1 species
AGAGUUUGAUCCUGGCUCAGAUUGAACGCUGGCGGCAUGCCUUACACAUGCAAGUCGAACGGCAGCGCGGGGGGUAACUCCUGGCGGCGAGUGGCGAACGGGUGAGUAAUAUAUCGGAACGUGCCCUGGAGUGGGGGAUAACUAGUCGAAAGAUUAGCUAAUACCGCAUACGAUCUACGGAUGAAAGUGGGGGAUUCGCAAGAACCUCAUGCUCGUGGAGCGGCCGAUAUCUGAUUAGCUAGUUGGUAGGGUAAAAGCCUACCAAGGCGACGAUCAGUAGCUGGUUUGAGAGAACGACCAGCCACACUGGGACUGAGACACGGCCCAGACUCCUACGGGAGGCAGCAGUGGGGAAUUUUGGACAAUGGGGGCAACCCUGAUCCAGCAAUGCCGCGUGUGUGAAGAAGG